UGUGUGCAUAUGAAUGUGCACACUUGCUUCUAGCAGCUCAAAGCUACAGCGUCGAAGUUGAAUAAAAAAUCUCCUCACCCCAAUGACCUUCUGCAGAUACCAGCGUCGGAUGCAUAUAACAUUGUCUGCUCGCGUAUUAAUAGAUAGCUAUUCCUUAGUGCCUCCGUCGAAAAUGCGAAUGCCGAAUGCUGAAAUACCUGAAUUGCACCUGAAUUGGCGAAUUGGUUACACAAAUUUCCUAAAGGCUUUAAAUCCAACAUGCAUUGGAGUAGUAUACAAAUUUUAUAAGUUUACAUAAUUAUUUUAUCAAACGAAUUUACUAAUUUCAUUUAAAUAUAUUCGAUUAUAAUAUAGAUUAAUAAUAAUAAUUUAAACUAGACUAGACCAAAGAAACUUUUAGUAAGUUGAAACCCAUUGAAAAAAAGAUAAAAUAACAAAAAUGAAUGCAAAAAUAAUUUACGGACGAACGUAUAAGAGUUACAACGUUUGAGCGUUAAGAAAAAAGUUAUAUGGCAAAGUUGUAAGUAAUAAAACGAUGGGCAACAUUUGUUUUCAC